CAGUCGCCGCGGUAAUACGGAGGGUGCAAGCGUUACCCGGAUUUACUGGGUUUAAAGGGUGCGUAGGUGGGUCUGUAAGUCAGUGGUGAAAUCUCCGAGCUUAACUCGGAAACUGCCAUUGAUACUAUAGGUCUUGAAUCAUCUGGAGGUGAGCGGAAUAUGUCAUGUAGCGGUGAAAUGCUUAGAUAUGACAUAGAACACCAAUUGCGAAGGCAGCUCACUACGGAUGUAUUGACACUGAGGCACGAAAGCGUGGGGAGCAAACAGGAUUAGAUACCCCUGUAGUCCCUGUCUCUUAUAC
rnacentral:rRNA from 1 species